AGCAGUCGCCGCGGUAAUACGAAGGGGGCUAGCGUUGUUCGGAAUUACUGGGCGUAAAGCGCACGCAGGCGGCUCGAUAAAUUAGAAGUGAAAGCCUUGGGCUUAACCUGAGAAUUGCUUUUAAGACUGUCGAGCUAGAAUCCAGAAGAGGGUAGUGGAAUUCCGAGUGUAGAGGUGAAAUUCGUAGAUAUUCGGAAGAACACCAGUGGCGAAGGCGACUACCUGGUCUGGCAUUGACGCUCAUGUGCGAAAGCGUGGGGAGCAAACAGGAUUAGAUACCCCUGUAGUCCCUGUCUCUUAUAC
rnacentral:rRNA from 1 species